GACGAACGCUGGCGGCGUGCUUAACACAUGCAAGUCGAACGGAAAGGCCCUGCUUGCAGGGUACUCGAGUGGCGAACGGGUGAGUAACACGUGGGUGAUCUGCCCUGCACUUCGGGAUAAGCUUGGGAAACUGGGUCUAAUACCGGAUAGGAACCAUCUUUAGUGUGGUGGUUGGAAAGUUUUUUCGGUGUAGGAUGAGCUCGCGGCCUAUCAGCUUGUUGGUGGGGUAAUGGCCUACCAAGGCGGCGAGGGGUAGCCGGCCUGAGAGGGUGUACGGCCACAUUGGGACUGAGAUACGGCCCAGACUCCUACGGGAGGCAGCAGUGGGGAAUAUUGCACAAUGGGCGCAAGCCUGAUGCAGCGACGCCGCGUGGGGGAUGAAGGCCUUCGGGUUGUAAGCUCCUUUCGCUAGGGACGAAGCUUUGUUGUGACGGUACCUAGAUAAGAAGCACCGGCUAACUACGUG
rnacentral:rRNA from 1 species